UCUCUUCUGUGGUUAUCGCGCUUUGCCUGC
rnacentral:piRNA from 2 species